UGGGGAAUUUUGGACAAUGGGCGAAAGCCUGAUCCAGCAAUGCCGCGUGUGUGAAGAAGGCCUUCGGGUUGUAAAGCACUUUUGUCCGGAAAGAAAUGGCUCUGGUUAAUACCUGGGGUCGAUGACGGUACCGGAAGAAUAAGGACCGGCUAACUACGUGCCAGCAGCCGCGGUAAUACGUAGGGUCCAAGCGUUAAUCGGAAUUACUGGGCGUAAAGCGUGCGCAGGCGGUUGUGCAAGACCGAUGUGAAAUCCCCGAGCUUAACUUGGGAUUGCAUUGGUGACUGCACGGCUAGAGUGUGUCAGAGGGGGGUAGAAUUCCACGUGUAGCAGUGAAAUGCGUAGAGAUGUGGAGGAAUACCGAUGGCGAAGGCAGCCCCCUGGGAUAACACUGACGCUCAUGCACGAAAGCGUGGGGAGCAAACAGGAUUAGAUACCCUGGUAGUCCACGCCCUAAACGAUGUCAACUAGUUGUUGGGGAUUCAUUUCCUUAGUAACGUAGCUAACGCGUGAAGUUGACCGCCU
rnacentral:rRNA from 1 species